GAUUUACUCUGCUGGAGUUUUGUAAGUGAGCCUAGGAUACGAGAACAGGAGGUGAUACAUCUGGAGUGAUUUGUGGUCCUGGAGGCAGAAUCAAUAUAUGAAGAAAGCCUGAAAGACCAGCUGUUCUUUGAAGUACUCUGUUGUUAGGAAAGAUUAAUUUGGAAGACAAAUAUUAAGAAGUAGGAACAAGAUACAUAUUAGGGGAUGGUAAUGAUAGGAGCUGUGAUGGAUAUUGUUCCCCCCAAAAAAGACAAUAAAGACUGGAAUUCAGCUCUCCUGCAUCCACAGCAGGAGUACUCAACCUGUCUAGAUUCCAAGACAUCUACAGAGAGUGUGAAGCUCUUCCUUAGCUGUUCUGUAGCUUUGUGGGUACCUAGCAAGAGAAGAAAAGGCACAGAAAACAAAACUCAACUUUUUCAUCAAAUAGGUGAAACCCUCUAUAUGGAAAAAUGUGUAUGGGUUCUGAGUUAAAGAGUAUCAGAAAUGCGUAAGACUAUCUAUUCUGCAUUUUUCCCUUCAGGGUGCUCAAGUGUACCACUGCCAUGCAAGGGACUUAAAACAAUAUAAAGAGCAAAAAAAUGAUACUCUCAGCAUGGGCUGAGAUUUGCCACUGUAAUCUGAUGCUGAAUCUAAGGGCAUGAAUGCUUCUCUUACACUUAAAUGUACUCCCAACACACAACACUGCCCUGAGACCAUGAUCUUUCCUCUUUGAUAUCUGUUUUUAAAAAAGUGAAAGAGAGAA